AUAAAAGCAGUGGUCUGUUGCCUAUGUGAGCAGUUCUCUCGUAACCUUCAGGGAUAUUAAAACCAACGUUAUUGGGUGAACCUCUGUUCCAUUUUUUGUGAUUGAAGGUUCAGUAAAUGAUGGAACAUUU
rfam:Cicer arietinum chromosome Ca6, whole genome shotgun sequence.